rnacentral:tRNA from 1 species
GCGGUAGUAGCUCAGGGGUUAGAGCGCCUGAUUGUGGUUCAGGAGGUCGUGGGUUCAAGUCCCAUCUGCCGCCCCA